rnacentral:rRNA from 1 species
CCUACGGGGGACAGCAGUCGAGAAUCAUUCACAAUGGGGGAAACCCUGAUGGUGCGACGCCGCGUGGGGGAAUGAAGGUCUUCGGAUUGUAAACCCCUGUCAUGUGGGAGCAAAUUAAAAAGAUAGUACCACAAGAGGAAGAGACGGCUAACUCUGUGCCAGCAGCCGCGGUAAUACAGAGGGCUCAAGCGUUGUUCGGAAUCACUGGGCGUAAAGGGUGCGUAGGCUGUUUCGUAAGUCGUGUGUGAAAGGCGCGGGCUCAACCCGCGGACGGCACAUGAUACUGGGAGACUAGAGUAAUGGAGGGGGAACCGGAAUUCGCGGUGUAGCAGUGAAAUGCGUAGAUAUCGAGAGGAACACCCGUGGCGAAGGCGGGUUCCUGGACAUUAACUGACGCUGAGGCACGAAGGCCAGGGGAGCGAAAGGGAUUAGAUACCCCAGUAGUC